AAUUCUCUCAAAGCAUACACUUGAGUGUGUGUUUUGGAUUGUGGGAGUGUCUGCUGGCUUUAUGAGCCAGCUCUCCUGAAAGACAUUAGCUUUGGGGGGGAGGUGCCAAGUCACUUCUGCCUUUCCGUUGGUGUGAUAGAUGAAUUAACUUAUCUACGCCAGGAAAGCAGGCUGCAGGUGAUGCACUGUGAUCUCUCUCUGCUCUCUAAUUGACAUCUGUCUGAUA
rnacentral:misc_RNA from 1 species